rnacentral:tRNA from 1 species
GCCUCUAUGGCACAGGGGUAAUGCGUGUCACUCGUAUAGUAAUUUACUUGCGGUGUAAUGACAAGAUCCGCGGUUCGAUUCCGCGUGGAGGCA